UACAGAGGUCUCAAGCGUUGUUCGGAUUCAUUGGGCGUAAAGGGUGCGUAGGCGGCGCGGUAAGUCGGAUGUGAAAUCUCGGAGCUUAACUCCGAAACUGCAUUCGAUACUGCCGUGCUUGAGGACUGGAGAGGAGACUGGAAUUUACGGUGUAGCGGUGAAAUGCGUAGAGAUCGUAAGGAAGACCAGUGGCGAAGGCGGGUCUCUGGACAGUUCCUGACACUGAGGCACGAAGGCCAGGGGAGCAAACGGG
rnacentral:rRNA from 1 species